CUGACCAACAAUUAAAGCAGAAGACCUGCUCCACCUGCUGAUCUACUGGUUGUAAGAGAUUGUGGAAAAGCAUAACUGAGACAAGACAACAGCACUGAACCAAUCAGGAGAGAGAAGACACAGAAAAUCCUGCUGGAAAUCCCGAGAUGAAGUUUCCUGAUGCAACAGGGGGAAACCUGAGGACACAGAAUAAAGAAGGACCAUGUGAAACUCAUGAAGAGGAUGGUCAGAGUUGUCCAUAGCUUUCUUGACUCUUAUGAAGAAUCCUUCUUUGCAUCAUCUCCAGAGGUUCCCCAGUCGUCUCCAGAACAGAACCAGAACAAAUCCAGCCUUCUUUAUCAGAUUGUUGAGCCUUUUGAGGUUCCUGGCUCUGAUGCUGCUGCACCAACAGAUGAUAGCAGAAGAGAUGACACUCUCAGCAUCAGACUUAAAGAUCUGCAGCAACUUGCUGCAAAUCUUGAAGGAUCGUAGCUUCCUCGAGAAGCGCAGUCUGCUCUGUCUCUUUUUAUAGACGGCUUCACUGUUGCGUCUCCAGUCCAGUCUGUGUUCCAGAUGAACACCGAGGUAUUUAUAUUCCUGAACCACCUCCACAUCUUCUCCCAUGAUGGAAAUAGGGUUUCCUGUUUCUCCUGAAAUCAACAACCAUCUCCUUUGUUUUGUUUACAGUCAAGAUUAGAUGAUUGUUCCCACACCAGGCCACAAAGUGAUCCACCAGAUCUCUGUACUCAGCCUCUUGUCUUCCUCUGAUACACACAACAACUGCAGAGUCGUCUGAGUAUUUCUGUAGAUGACAGAAGUUGGACUUGUGCGGGAAGUCUGAACAGUAGAGAGUGAAAAUGAAUGGUAGUCACAGAUGCAGGUGAUUGUUGAGGCCUCCACCUGUGUCUUCUGGAGUUUCUAACGGAGCAGAUCAGGCUGAAUUGUGUUCAAUGCACCUGAGAACCAAAGACCCUGAUCCUCACUGUGCUGCCUGCUUUGUCCAGAUGACAGUGGGUUUGUUGAAGCAGGUGUCUGAUCAACUCCAACUCCACGGUGAUAAGCAAACUGCAGGGGGUCCUGAUAUCUGAUCGUCUGCUUACUCAAGUGGGCCACCAGGAGUCUCUCCAGGACCUUCAUGAUGUGCGAUGCCAGGGCAACGGGUCUACAGUCGUUAUGACUGAUGGGUGACUUUUCUUCGGUACCGGAACCAGGCAGGAUGUCUUCCACAACAACGGAAACUCCUCUUGGGUCAGGCAAAGGUUGAAGAGAUGCUGCAGAAUCCCACAGAGGGACUCUG